rnacentral:rRNA from 1 species
UACGUAGGGUGCAAGCGUUAAUCGGAAUUACUGGGCGUAAAGCGUGCGCAGGCGGCUUUGCAAGACAGAUGUGAAAUCCCCGGGCUUAACCUGGGAACUGCAUUUGUGACUGCGAGGCUGGAGUGCGGCAGAGGGGGAUGGAAUUCCGCGUGUAGCAGUGAAAUGCGUAGAUAUGCGGAGGAACACCGAUGGCGAAGGCAAUCCCCUGGGCCUGCACUGACGCUCAUGCACGAAAGCGUGGGGAGCAAACAGG